AUUGAACGCUGGCGGCAUGCCUUACACAUGCAAGUCGAACGGCAGCACGGGGGCAACCCUGGUGGCGAGUGGCGAACGGGUGAGUAAUACAUCGGAACGUGCCCAGUAGUGGGGGAUAGCCCGGCGAAAGCCGGAUUAAUACCGCAUACGACCUACGGGUGAAAGCGGGGGAUCGCAAGACCUCGCGCUAUCGGAGCGGCCGAUGUCAGAUUAGGUUGUUGGUGGGGUAAAAGCCACCAAGCCGACGAUCUGUAGCUGGUCUGAGAGGACGACCAGCCACACUGGGACUGAGACACGGCCCAGACUCCUACGGGAGGCAGCAGUGGGGAAUUUUGGACAAUGGGCGCAAGCCUGAUCCAGCCAUGCCGCGUGCGGGAA
rnacentral:rRNA from 1 species